rnacentral:rRNA from 1 species
UACGGAGGGUGCGAGCGUUGUCCGGAAUCAUUGGGCGUAAAGGGCGCGUAGGUGGCCCGGUCAGUCUUUGGUGAAAGCGCGGGGCUCAACCCUGCGUCGGCCAGGGAUACUGCCGCGGCUCGAGCACUGUAGAGGCAGGCGGAAUUCCGGGUGUAGCGGUGGAAUGCGUAGAGAUCCGGAAGAACACCGAUGGCGAAGGCAGCCCCCUGGGCUGACACUGACGCUCAGGCACGAAAGCGUGGGGAGCAAACAGG